UACAGAGGUCUCAAGCGUUGUUCGGAUUCAUUGGGCGUAAAGGGUGCGUAGGCGGCGCGGUAAGUCGGGUGUGAAAUCUCGGAGCUUAACUCCGAAACUGCAUUCGAUACUGCCGUGCUUGAGGACUGGAGAGGAGACUGGAAUUUACGGUGUAGCGGUGAAAUGCGUAGAUAUCGGGAGGAACACCUGUGGCGAAGGCGGCCCCCUGGUUCGGAUACUGACGCUGAGACGCGAAAGCGUGGGGAGCAAACAGG
rnacentral:rRNA from 1 species